AUUGAACGCUGGCGGCAUGCCUUACACAUGCGAGUCGAACGGCAGCACGGGUGCUUGCACCUGGUGGCGAGUGGCGAACGGGUGAGUAAUACAUCGGAACAUGCCCUGUAGUGGGGGAUAGCCCGGCGAAAGCCGGAUUAAUACCGCAUACGAUCUACGGAUGAAAGCGGGGGACCUUCGGGCCUCGCGCUAUAGGGUUGGCCGAUGGCUGAUUAGCUAGUUGGUGGGGUAAAGGCCUACCAAGGCGACGAUCAGUAGCUGGUCUGAGAGGACGACCAGCCACACUGGGACUGAGACACGGCCCAGACUCCUACGGGAGGCAGCAGUGGGGAAUUUUGGACAAUGGGCGAAAGCCUGAUCCAGCAAUGCCGCGUGUGUGAAGAAGGCCUUCGGGUUGUAAAGCACUUUUGUCCGGAAAGAAAUCCUUGGCCCUAAUACGGUCGGGGGAUGACGGUACCGGAAGAAUAGGCACCGGCUAACUACGUG
rnacentral:rRNA from 1 species